rfam:Marine metagenome 1096626696647, whole genome shotgun sequence.
GGAACCGCGAGGUUCUUAGCACGAAAGAAGGCCGUAGCAAAGGCACGACCGUAAGAACAUGAAACGGCAGCGAGGCAUGGCGUGGGCGAUGAGAAUGCGAGCAUCCGCGAAAUCCAAAAGUCACCGAAAGACACGUUGUGUAGAGCCGUGCGGCACGGGCCGAAAGUUCGUACA